rnacentral:lncRNA from 1 species
CUAUUCUUAGAGGAUACACCUGAGGAGUGUCCUGUUUGACCAGACACCUCCAUUACCAAUGUUGGUUUCAGAUUUUUCAUGGCGUUGAGAAAUGCAGUUGGACAUUUAUCCUACUCAUUGGAGUUCUCAAUUUUAUUUCCAUCUGGAAUGGCACAGCAGUACUUGUGGGGCUGUUAACUUGGCUGAGGAAAGUGGUAUGGAACUGGUCCUUUGAACUUAGUGAGUAUCUACUUCAUAGGGCCACGAAGACCAGCAGGAUAUGAAACAACACUUCCACUACCUUUCCUCCAAGCCACUACAUCAGAAGUAUUAAUGAAGCAAAGCCAGGCAGAGACGUCUAAGUGCUCAGAUCAGUCAUGUUGUAAAACCUCAGAACUGAGCCAAAUGGCCACCUCGGUUCAAGAUCUGGAGGGGAAGCAGGAGUGCUCAUCAUCUGUGGUCUGUCUUUGCUGGCCCCAGCAUUUCAUUCAUGUGCUUUGGACACAUCAGUGCAUGACAGUCCCACCACCAACAGAUAGCUCCAAAGCUCCAAAGUGCAGUGCUGAGUUGAACUGAGGCAACAGCUAGGAAAGACAGUGGGAAGCACAUGCACGCUGACGUAUUGAGUGUGCUUUUAAGUUUUAGGAUUGUUUCCCUCUUGGCCUCCACGCUUCUAGCUGCAAUAGAGCUCUGGAGUCUUAUUUUCUGGAAGUCCAUUUGGCUUUCACAUCUGCAGACUCAUCUCUGGUCUCGAGUACUUGGUAUGAAGGUACUUGCAAGUACACCUGAAUGCCCCUAGGCAAUGUGAAUGGCCCUCUUCUAGUUGUUUUAUAGAGAUGUGUUACGCUCUCAGGAGCACAAAGUAGAACAGGGAAAGGUCCAAGGAGUGGGAAGAGCCAUGGAUGGCUGAAGCCCUUUGGAGGAGGCCAUCUCCAGGGUUUGGGCUUCUUGGCUGAGAGUGAGGAUCUUAGCCCAUUGAGACCCCACACAAAGGAAGAACACCAAACCUGUCCGACUGAAGUACAUUUUCCCCAGAACAUAACUGAGGUCAUGGACCUUCUUGGCACGAGCUGUUACAGGGGUACAUUCAGAAAGGGCUGUGAGAAAUCACUAGAAGGCCAGCCCAUGGAGACAGCUCUGGGCCCAGAUGCAGCCUCCUGCUUGAGCUGUUGCUAAAUGCUUCUUGCCAGAAGCUUGGGAGUUAGGCCAAGAGUUACAUCCUCUCCUUCCCUCUGCAAGUCACAAGACACCAGGCUUGGGAUUGACCUUUGCUCUGAUGAACACUCAGGCCCCAACAUUUGGGUUUACCUGGCAGCAAGUCCCAGUGAUGCAAGCAAAAACUGUGAGGGAUGUGACAUUUGUUUGGAUUGCCUUGGUUUGUGUCAUUUUUCUUCUGUAUAUUGAGUUGUACACCCUAGUAUUGUUCCUGCAGUAGAACAGUCACACCCUGCUAGCAUUUUUGUGGCCUGCAGAUCUGUUUCCUUGAUUCUUGCUC